rnacentral:rRNA from 1 species
CGUGGCUAACCUGCCCUUGGGACGAGAACAACCCCGGGAAACUGGGGCUAAUUCGCGAUAGGCGAAGAACUCUGGAAUGAGUCUUCACCUAAAAGACAUUGCGUUAUGCUCGUAGUGUCGCCCAAGGAUGGGGCCGCGACCGAUCAGGUUGUUGGUGAGGUAAUGGCUCACCAAGCCUUUUACCGGUGCGGGCCGUGGGAGCGGGAGCCCGGAGAUGGGCACUGAGACAAGGGCCCAGGCCCUACGGGGCGCAGCAGUCGCGAAAACUUUGCAAUAAGCGAAAGCUUGACAGGGCUAUCCCGAGUGCCAUCCGCUGAGGAAGGCUUUUACCCAGUCUAGAACGCUGGGGGAAUAAGGAGAGGGCAAGUCUGGUGUCAGCCGCCGCGGUAAUACCAGCUCUCCGAGUGGUGUGGAUGUUUAUUGGGCCUAAAGCAUCCGUAGCUGGCUAGGUAAGUCCCCUGUUAAAUCCACCGAAUUAAUCGUUGGAUUGCGGGGGAUACUGCUUGGCUAGGGGACGAGAGAGGCAGACGGUAUUUCCGGGGUAGGGGUGAAAUCCUAUAAUCCCGGGAAGACCACCAGUGGCGAAGGCUGUCUGCUAGAACGCGCCCGACGGUGAGGGAUGAAAGCUGGGGGAGCGAACCGGAUUAGAUACCCGGGUAGUCCCAGCUGU